rnacentral:ncRNA from 2 species
GAAGACAAAUAAAUACAAUCUAAUAUAAUCUAAGCGAUAUGGGCUUUAAGUUUCUACCGGACACCGUAAAACGUUCGACUAUUAGUGAGAUGAGUUUUUUG